CGGGGCGUGGCGCAGCCUGGUAGCGCGCACCGUUCGGGACGGUGAGGUCCUCAGUUCAAAUCUGGGCGCCCCGA
rnacentral:tRNA from 1 species